GGUGCUGCUAUAAAAAGCUCCUCGCGGAGCCGCGCUCGCGGGGGGCGGGCGUCUGAGGACCCGCGUCCCCGGAGCGCCACGUGCCGCCGCUGCACGGGGGUGGCGGGUGGGGGAGAGACAGGGCCACUUCAGCCCCCCCUUCCUCCUCCACCACCUCGGCAGCGCGGGUGAGCCACACACCGCAGCGGCUGAGCCUGGUGGGGUCUGGCUCCGCCGCUCCCCAAAAGCAGCGCGGAGAGAACAGGGAGCCAUCGCACAGCCGUGAGGAGGCACCGGCUGAGCGAAUGGGGUACCCCCCUCACCCUCUCAGGGAACCGCCGGGGAGGCUGAUGACAGAUAGCAUACCUGGGGAGCGGCUGACUUGGACACAAGUGUGGGAGGAAGGCCUUGGAGAGCUGUUCUGGGACAAGAAAAAUGAGUAAUGCUGCCAGAAAUUACGUCUACUUCAGUAUGCUUGGUUUAAUGGGGACUUCAUCUUUUUAAUAUUUUUUUUAUGAAGGCUUGUGUGGGCUUGAAAGCCACUUAAUGCUAUAAUAAAAGCUGGUAAGAGCUAUGAAAAGAAACUGAGGUGCCCGCCUCUUGUCUGACUUCGGUGCGUGGAGU